rnacentral:rRNA from 1 species
AGCGAACGCUGGCGGCAGGCCUAACACAUGCAAGUUGAACGAACUCUUCGGAGUUAGUGGCGGACGGGUGAGUAACACGUGGGAACGUGCCUUUAGGUUCGGAAUAACUCAGGGAAACUUGUGCUAAUACCGAAUGUGCCCUUCGGGGGAAAGAUUUAUCGCCUUUAGAGCGGCCCGCGUCUGAUUAGCUAGUUGGUGAGGUAAAGGCUCACCAAGGCUACGAUCAGUAGCUGGUCUGAGAGGAUGACCAGCCACAUUGGGACUGAGACACGGCCCAAACUCCUACGGGAGGCAGCAGUGGGGAAUCUUGCGCAAUGGGCGAAAGCCUGACGCAGCCAUGCCGCGUGGAUGAUGAAGGUCUUAGGAUUGUAAAAUCCUUUCACCGGUGAAGAUAAUGACUGUAGCCGGAGAAGAAGCCCCGGCUAACUUCGUGCCAGCCGCCGCAGUAACAC